CUCAGCCCCGUCUGUCCGUGUCUCCUGAAGUUCUCACAGAGAGAGGAUCAGUGCAGAUUCACUGUCAUGUUCCAGACAAUGUUAAAGUGCAUCAGUGUUAUUUCUACCCAGAGAGAGACAACACAAAUCUAAAACUCUCUCCAUCAUGUCAGCUCUCAGUCUCUGGUUCUGAACUGAUCUGGUGGACAGGACGAAGUUCUCCUGGAACACUUCAUAUUACUUGUUACUACGCUUUGGAUAACUCUGUUCGUACUCCUUCUCCUCACUCUCUCCCAGCUCCAGUCACAGUGCGGUAUCAGAAACCGAGACUAAGCGUCAGUCAUGAUGGUCAGUUUGAUGAAUUGAGAUUUGUGUGUGAAAUAUCAGGGUCAGAGUCAGUAACUGCUGAUUUUAGCUGUAAUCUCUACACUGGAGAAAAUCCUCAGCUUUUCCUAAUCCAAAGAUCUCAAAACGGAAAAUCUGUGAAGGUUUGUAGUUUUACAGCACAGAGAGACGCUGUGUUUAAUCGUCUGCAGUCAGUAAAGAGUCGUGAAGUGAGCUGUGAUUAUUCACUGAUCUCUGACCCGACUGCUCGCUCUCUAAUGAGUGAUAAACACAACAUGAUGCGUAAGUUAUAAUAAACAAAUUAUGUAUUCCAUUACUUUAUACCUUUGAAUAAUUUGAACUCAUUUUCACUUCAUCUUUUGUCAGAUUUCUUUACAACAACAACAACGACUCAGACAUCCACUCCUGAAGAGAAACCCAGUGCAGAUUUGAGUCUGGUAACGACGCCACCAUCCACAGCUACGGAGGAACCUACAGCAGCUUCUCCAGUUUUUUCAACUCCUCUGAUCACCACAAGACACACAGCGACUCGAUCGCUGCCUACCGUACUGUUAGUCACCGGUGUGUGUGUUUUACUGGCUGGACUGAUGAGCGUCUGUCUCUGCGUGUGUAUAUCUGUGUGGAUUAUCUUCAGCAGAUGUAAAUUGAACACGACCCACCGUGAUCAGGACGGUGAUGAGGUUUACACAGAGGUGAUGUACACACUCUCCUCUUAGCAGUUCUCAGAGGAAACACAGCUCCUUUCAGCUUCCUCUGAAUGAUGGACACUGAACAGCUUCUGUCUUCUGUCUCAGUUUAAAGUCUGAACUCAAUAAACUCUUAUUUGUUAAAUAACACAAAUGUUCCUAACAAUUCAUUUGAUUCUCAUGAAUGCUUUUCACAGUCUGCCUUUAUCAUGAACCGUGUGUUUUCUAAAGGAAAUCUGCAGGGUGAACUAUUUUACUGUUGAAUUUGAAACGCACAAUAAAUCAUUUAAUCAGAGAUGCACGUUAAAUCAUCCGAGUAUUGCUUCUUUAUCUUUUAUCUUCUUAUACAGCCUAUCUGUGUGGAUAUUGUUGUUGCUUUGUUGUUGUUUUAUUUUUAUAUUUGAGGCAGGAUCACAUCUGUAAUUAUUUAUUUAACAUGUACAUGUAUUCUUAAAUCUAGAACAGUCACAGUUGUUUAUGUGAUAAUGAACAGGUUUUGUUUUUUCCUUAAAGAAUCUGUACAUGUACAACAUUAUAUUAUAAUCACAUGGGAAAUCAUCUGUCCUCAUUUACUGUAUAUAAACUAAUGUACUAAUGAAUACUUAUUCACAGAUUUACUCAACGUGACAUCUUAAAUGUUUUGGAGAUAUUAAUGCCAAUAAAUAACUAUUUUAAAACAGCUCACUCAGUAUUAUGGAACUGAAGUAAUUCUGUUGAAGUUAAUCCAACUAUGUAGAAAAAAAUAAAAUAAAAAAAAAAUAAUAAAGAAAACUUUAAUGAGCAGAUUCUGGGGCGUUGUCUCCCCCUAGGGGGUGAAAUAAAUACUGCCGUUAAACCAGAGAAGAAGGAACAUUGAGGACAGUUCUGUAAUCAUAGUCAGGAUUAAAUGAAUGAAUGUUGGCCCUCCCUAGUCUAUAAAUGAAGUACUGAUAUUAAACAUCUUCAUGAGGGAAGCCUGGAGGUGAUGCAGUGAUGAUGUGGAGUGAUGGGUCAAAGAAAAAGUUUGCUGUGUUGUGUUGUGUUAUACUUAUUGUACCUGGUUCACUUGUACAGCAUCUAUUUAUUGUCUUGUAUCUUGUCUGUGUACAGUGGUUAAUGUUCUGCUUCUGCAUUCUGAUAUUUUGAUCGUAAUGUGUGGUUUUGUUCAUAAUGUGUGGUUUUCUGUGAAUAAAUUUCCAGCACUGACAGUUUAAAAGUCUACUGUAUCAAAGAACCUGACAACAUACUGUGUCAUAAAUGUUAAACCCUUAUGUGAAUUCUAUAUUUAUUUAAAGUG